UUUCUCUUUCCCCCAAACAUUCGUACGUCCCUCCCCCGCUGCGUGCUUCGUCCAAAACGAUCUUCUUCCAUAGGAGCUAGCUGGGAACGCGACGACGGGAUCGCGACUUAUCGUGAUCCGAAACGCUCAUUUUGAUCCUCCUUCCUCUCCUCUCCUACCCGAACAAGUUUAGGUUAAAUCCGGCUUAAAUCCCGCUUUAAAUCGAGUUUCGCUUCUUGUCGUGCCAUCUCAUAUUGUUACGUCAACGCUACUUCUACGCAAAUCACCGAGCUUGGCGGCGAUCGUCGGAGAUGUCCUACGACGACGUGGAGAUCGAGGACAUGGAGUGGAGCGAAGAGCUCCAGGCGUUUACAUACCCUUGCCCCUGCGGCGAUCUAUUUCAGAUCACGAAGGAAGAACUCCGCGUUGGCGAGGAAAUCGCUCGAUGCCCUAGUUGUUCGCUUUACAUCACGGUUAUAUAUAAUAUGGAUGACUUUGCGGACUCCGAUGGAGGAAGGCCUCCAUCUGAGCAGCUUCAGCCAAUCGCAGUCUCAUGAGCAGUCCUAGUAUCCGAUUUAAGGUUAGAGCCCCACAUGCAAGCUGCAAUCUUCUCUUGCUGCUUGUUAGAGUGAGUCAUCAUGCUCUUGUUUACUUCUCUGAUGCAUACCAGUUCUAGGUUUUCAAAAGCUGUUGUAAUGUUAUUUGUCCUGCACUUCUUUGCUAAUACAUCGUUGUUUGAGAUU